CAAACCACUGAGCUAAAUUUGGUUUUGAGUCAAUCAAUUCAUAUCAAAAUAUGAAUCAAUGCAAUCAACUACAAGUAAACUCAACUUUGAGCCCCUUUGAUCUAAUCCUAAUCAACUAUCGAUUAGGUUUAAUCAAUUGCUUAAAAUCAAAAAUAAAUUCUAGCCUGAUCUAAUCAAUUAGACCCUAAUUGUAGUUUGAUCACUCAGACCCAAUUUAUUCAUCCCAUACCCA
rnacentral:lncRNA from 1 species